CACAUGCAAGUCGAACGAGCGAGAGAGAGCUUGCUUUCUCGAGCGAGUGGCGAACGGGUGAGUAACGCGUGAGGAACCUGCCUCAAAGAGGGGGACAACAGUUGGAAACGACUGCUAAUACCGCAUAAGCCCACGGUGCUGCAUGGCACAGAGGGAAAAGGAGCAAUCCGCUUUGAGAUGGCCUCGCGUCCGAUUAGCUAGUUGGUGAGGUAACGGCCCACCAAGGCGACGAUCGGUAGCCGGACUGAGAGGUUGAACGGCCACAUUGGGACUGAGACACGGCCCAGACUCCUACGGGAGGCAGCAGUGGGGAAUAUUGCACAAUGGGGGAAACCCUGAUGCAGCGACGCCGCGUGGAGGAAGAAGGUCUUCGGAUUGUAAACUCCUGUUGUUGGGGAAGAUAAUGACGGUACCCAACAAGGAAGUGACGGCUAACUACGUGCCAGCAGCCGCGGUAAAACGUAGGUCACAAGCGUUGUCCGGAAUUACUGGGUGUAAAGGGAGCGCAGGCGGGAAGACAAGUUGGAAGUGAAAUCUAUGGGCUCAACCCAUAAACUGCUUUCAAAACUGUUUUUCUUGAGUAGUGCAGAGGUAGGCGGAAUUCCCGGUGUAGCGGUGGAAUGCGUAGAUAUCGGGA
rnacentral:rRNA from 1 species